AGUUGGAGCUUCCCGGCUGCUUUGUUUACCUAAGCAAGCCUGGGCAAUGGCGGGCGCCCCUCCCCCAGCCUCGCUGUCGCCUUGCAGUUUGAUCUCAGACUGCUGUGCUAGCAAUCAGCGAGACUCCGUGGGCGUAGGACCCUCCGAGCCAGGUGCGGGAUAUAGUCUGGUGGUGCGCCGUUUUUUAAGUCGGUCUGAAAAGCGCAAUAUUCGGGUGGGAGUGACCCGAUUUUCCAGGUGCGUCCGUCACCCCUUUCUUUGACUCGGAAAGGGAACUCCCUGACCCCUUGCGCUUCCCAGGUGAGGCAAUGCCUCGCCCUGCUUCGGCUCGCACACAGUGCACACACCCACUGGCCUGCAUCCACUGUCUGGCACUCCCUAGUGAGAUGAACCCGGUACCUCAGAUGGAAAUGCAGAAAUCACCCGUCUUCUGCGUCGCUCACGCUGGGAGCUGUAGACCGGAGCUGUUCCUAUUCGGCCAUCUUGGGUCUGGAUUCGGCAUUACAUGUCUUAACGGACAUCUUCUGUAACCAGAAGCACUCCAAGAACAACACUUUCAUUCAUGGACUUAACAACUACAUUAGAUCAUACCAGCCUGUCACUUCAAAGUCACCAGUGUCAAGGAACAUUUCAAAUUGGCUUAAAGCAUUGUUUUGGAGGUGUGAAUAAUGAAGCCAAGGACAUUAGCAACAUCAUGAAAGCAGACUUCAUUGUCCACCUGGUGAGUCCCCAAAGAGCUAACAAAAGGCACUGGACCUUGAAUAUGACAAGACCACAGAGUAAGUAAAAGGUCAAAUAUAAAAUCAAAAGUACUUCUAUAUUCUAGGAAAAAACAAUUGUAGUGACAUGAUCCAAUUGAGAUUAAAAAAAAAAAUUCUGGUUAACUGUGAAUCAUGGCAGGUGAUGGCAUACUCAGAAGAAGGCCAUUUAGGAAAGUUCAGUAUUCCAGCAGGUGGUAAUGAUCAGUUGGCCUGGAGUGAUGAUGGAGGUGGAGAGUUGAUUGAUUCCAGAAAUGUUUAAGAAGUAAAAUCAAUGGGAUCAGCAAUGGAUUAUUCAUGGGAGAAAAGAGAGGUGUUAAGGAUCACCAUUUUGCCUGGCUUUUGUAAAUGGGUGAAAGAUGAUGCAGUUCACCGACGAAAAAAUUCUACAAACAACAACAAAAAGAAACAGAUUGGAAACAAAGGUCAUAUGUUUAGUUUCAGAUACAAUCAGCCCAAGGUACCUUUGAAACUCUAAGAGAAAUCAGAUAUGCCACUCAGAAGACUUGGCUUAAAGUCAUCUGCACCUACUUAAAAACUAGUUGGGGAGUGUUUUACUUCCAAUUAUGUGGUCAAUUUUCAUGAGGGGCUUAAAACCUAGAUGAUGGAUUGAUAGGUGCAGCAAACCACCAUGGCACAUGUAUACCUAUGCAACAAACCUGCACAUUCCGCACAUGUAUCCCGGAACUUAAGUAAAUUUGUUUUAAAAAAUGAAACAAUAUUAAAAAAACUAGUUGGGGUUCAAAUCACCUAGGUAGAAGUAUAGAAUAGAAAGAGAAUAAAACCUGGGAUUAACCUUCCAAGAAAGCAGCACUUAAAGGCUGCGUAAGAAGGAUAAAACUGGGGAAGAGGAAAAAAGAAUAGUCAGCAAGAUAGGGAACAAAGACAUUAUUUGUCUUAGAUGCUAAGAGAAGAACGAAUCAUCAAAAACUACUUAUUCUGAAAAACAGCUUCCAAAAAUUAUGUGAUGUGAUGAAUUAAGAUUUAAUUCAAAAAUAGGAGCAAUUAUAGUGAGGAAUAAAGUUGGUUAAGCAAAGAGGGAUGAAUACGUGAAAGUAAUUUUUUAAAUCAGAGAUAAAAUCAUGCAGGUUGUGCUUUUUUCAAAAGAAUUUUAGAUUCUGUUUAACGCCUUUACUUGCCCUAAAUUCUACUUUGUCUGAAAAUAAUUUUAUUAAUGCUACUUUAUUUUCUCCCAAUUAUCAUCAACUUCCAAUUUUUAAAUCUUCUCUUCAGGUCUUUCUUUCGUAGUCUCUUUUGUUGCUAUAGUUGUAACUGUAGAAAAUGUUUUGAAUAAGCCAAGGAAUGGUUUAGAGGGGAAAUAAAAGCCCUUGUUUUGAUAAUUAGAUAAAUAUAGAAGACAUUAAACCAAAUGUUUGCAGUGAUCAUUUCUGGGUGUUUAAAUUUCAUAUGGAUUUUAUACCCAUCUGUAUUAACUAAAUACUUUAAGAUAAAUGUGUAUUACUUUUUAUAUUUUAAAAUAUGUCAUAAAGUAUUAAUUUUUUUUAAGGAGACACCAUUUUCCACCUAUUUUUCUUAUUCAUUGGUUUACCCUUUUUGAGUUGUCUGUUACAGCGUUUUUCUCUUUUUCUACUGGGUUGUUCUUUUUCAAACUUUUCUAAAGCACUCUAUAUAUUAGGCUUGAUAUCUCUAUAUAUUGUGUUUAUUACCUCUUUUCUGUUACACAUAUUUAUGUUUUCUCCCAGUUUAUCAUUUUAACUUUAUUCAUAUCAGUGGCCAUAUAAAAGUUUUAAUUUGUAUGGAGAAAAAUCUGUCAAUUUUUUCCUAUGUGUCUUGUUGGUACAUAUCAACUAUUUUAAUAGUGAAAAUAAGGGUAAUAAAUUCGUAGCAUUAUAUAUUUGCAUAAAUUGUGACACAACUAUGAGCAUAAAGCAAACAAAAAUUAUUUAGCAACAUUUAAAAUGUUUACAAUUUCUCAUUAAGAAAUAUAGUAACUGCAAACAUUGUGAUUCAGUCUUUUUACUAUAUAAACACACAGGAAAUGAGGACUGAAAAUGGAUAGUUAUCUUUGUGCAGUUUAAUUAUAGAAGAUAUAUUCUGUAUGCUUUUUUAUAUUUUUCAGCUUUGUUUCCUGCAAUGUACAGAAAAAAAAUGGCUUUUAUAGGAAAAAAAAUCUUCAAAAGUCAUUUUAAAAAUAAAAGGACAUAUAUGAAAAUGAUCAUAAUGAUAUACAAGAUUAAGUCACUGAGUGGAUAAGUGGGGAUUAAGGGAAAGAGGCUAUUUAGGAUGCUUCUAAAAUUUUGAAUCUGGACACCUAAAAGUAUGUCCUUGACAAUUAAAGGGUAUGGGAGGAGAUCAAAAUGAGGAAAAAUUGAAGAGUCCUGCCUUACAAAUGUUGAGUUUCUGCUGACAGUGCAUUGUCCACGUAUGAGUCAUUUGAAAAUGUAGAACUGGAAUUCAAGAUGAGAGAUACAGAUGUAAAAGUCAUAGGAAAAUUAGUGAAACAUGAGCAUUUUCAGAAUAGGUAAUUCCAAAAGGAGAUCUAUCAAGAGAAGGAAUUUGAGGCCAAAUCCUUAAAAAACAGUAAUGUUCAAGGGAAACAAAGAGCAUCUUCUAUGGUCUGAAUGCAUCCCCACAAAAUUCAUAUAUUAAAAGUUAUUUGCCAAUGUGAUGAUAUUAAGAUGUAGGGCCUUUGGGAGGUGAUUAGGUCAUGAGGGUGGAACCCUUGUGAAUGGAUUAGUGCCCCUAUAAAAGGAUUCAAGGGAACUAAGGCUAGGCCCUUCUCCCUUUCUGGCCCUUCUGCCAUGUGAGGACAUAGCAUUAGUCCCUGCUGAAGGAUGUAGCAACACAAUGCCAUUUUGGAAGCAAAGUCUGGGCCCUCACCAGACUCAACCUGCCAGCAUCUUUAUUUUGGACUUUCCAGCCUCCAGAACCAUGAGAAAUAAAUUUAUGUUAUUUAUAAAUUACCCAGUUUCUGGUAUUUUGUGAUAGCAGCACAAACAGACUAAGACAGUACCUGACAAAGGGCAUAGAGCAGGAGACACCAGAGCUGAUGAAAGAGAAACUGAAUGGCACAGACCUGAAUUACCCAUCUUGUGGAUGAUGAAGGUAAGAAGAAGGUCUCAAGGAGGAAAUAGUGAGCACAUAAACAUGCUGCUGUGGUUAAGAAUAUUUAAUUUCUGCUUUCAUACUUCUAAGUAGGAAUCCCUAUGGCAAAGUGCCCCAUCAUCUUUCACCCUAACCCUAAAAGUCCCCAACAUAGCCUUUUUAUCCUCCUCCUACCUUCAAAACCUACAACCAAGAUAUAUAUAUAUUUUCCAAAUUAAGAAUAACAGAGGAGUGCUUGGGGGUGGAAAUCAGGGAGUUAAUUAGGUGGUGCUGGGGCAACAAAAUUCUAUGUUUAGAGAGGGGAAAGAGCAACAUUUGCUCUUGUCUCCUGGCACCUCAAUACGAAGAGCUGGAUUUCUCAACAACCUUGGCCAGAUUCUAUGAAGAAAUGAAAUAAUAAGGAAGAGAAAAGCGCCUAAGUAACGGCAGAAAAUGACCGAGUUGCCCCUUACUUAGGAAAGUAUGGAAGAUAAGAAGUUCUGUUCUUUGAAGACCCAGGUCAGGGUAAAGACAUCUGAAAGUCCUUUCAUGAGUCCUUAGUGGAAGAGAAGAGAAUCACUUCCCCCUUGCCAAGAGCAUUCCUCAACAGGAAUACCAGGCAUUGCUGAGCAGCUCUGAAUGGAGUACCAAGCCCCAUGCCACUCCAAGGGCUGGGUCUGAGUGACUGGUAGUAAAUGCCGUGACGUCAAGGACAAGCAAGGGAAUGCUUCUCUUGUCGACACAGAUGGCUGGAUGUCUUGUUUUUCAUGUUGUUUUUUUGUUGUUGUCAUUUUCUCACCCAUUACAGAUGAAGAGGAAGGACGAGGACUUUUUCUUUUUUAGGAAGUUAGGGAAGGAUCAAGCUCUCUGAAGGAGAAAAAGAUAGAGUCAAAAAAUUUGAAACUUUUAAAAAAAUAUUAGCUACAGAACUAAAGAAAGAAGAACAUAGAUCCAGAACUGAAAACAAAUUUUAAUGUUUUACAAAUGAUAUUUAUGAAGGAAAAAUUGUUUUACAAAUAAAUAUGUACCUGUGCCAAGAUGACAUAACAGACCAUUGUCUGAUUGGAUAUGUUAUUAAUUUUUCUGAAGACAGAGCAAAGGAGUCAAAGAUCAACCCCUUUGAUACCACUUAAGCUAAACUGAAGGUAAAGCAAAAAAAAAAAAAAAAAAAAAAAAAA